rnacentral:rRNA from 1 species
UACGGGGGGAGCAAGCGUUGUUCGGAUUUACUGGGCGUAAAGGGCGCGUAGGCGGCCACCGCAAGUCGACUGUGAAAUCUCCGGGCUUAACCCGGAAAGGUCAGCCGAUACUGCGGGGCUAGAGUGCAGAAGGGGCAGCUGGAAUUCUCGGUGUAGCGGUGAAAUGCGCAGAUAUCGGGAGGAACACCAAUGGCGAAGGCAGCUCGCUGGGACGGUACUGACGCUGAGACGCGAAAGCGUGGGGAGCAAACAGG